GCCACGACCGAGCCAGCCGCCGCGGUAGUAGGCAGGGUGGAAGCUUGGUCGGGAAGUAUGGGGGGUAAAGGGCGGGUAGGCGGCGUGCGGCGUCGGCUGUGAAAACCCGGGGCUCAACCCCGGGCCUGCAGUCGAUACGGGCAGGCUAGAGUUCGGCAGGGGAGACUGGAAUUCCUGGUGUAGCGGUGAAAUGCGCAGAUAUCAGGAGGAACACCGGUGGCGAAGGCGGGUCUCUGGGCCGAUACUGACGCUGAGGAGCGAAAGCGUGGGGAGCGAACAGGUUUAGAUACCCCAGUAGUC
rnacentral:rRNA from 1 species